rnacentral:rRNA from 1 species
AGUGAACGCUGGCGGUAGGCCUAACACAUGCAAGUCGAACGGCAGCCCAGUAAGAGCUUGCUCUUACGGGUGGCGAGUGGCGGACGGGUGAGGAAUACAUCGGAAUCUACUUUUUCGUGGGGGGUAACGUAGGGAAACUUACGCUAAUACCGCAUACGACCUACGGGUGAAAGCAGGGGAUCUUCGGACCUUGCGCGAUUGAAUGAGCCGAUGUCGGAUUAGCCAGUUGGCGGGGUAAAGGCCCACCAAGGCGACGAUCCGUAGCUGGUCUGAGAGGAUGAUCAGCCACACUGGAACUGAGACACGGUCCAGACUCCUACGGGAGGCAGCAGUGGGGAAUAAUGGACGAUGGGAGCAAGCCUGAUCCAGCCAUACCGCGUGGGUGAAGAAGGCCUUCGGGUUGUAAAGCCCUUUUGUUGGGAAAGAAAAGCAGCAGGUUAAUACCCCGCUGUUCUGACGGUACCCAAAGAAUAAGCACCGGCUAACUUCGUG